rnacentral:rRNA from 1 species
UACAGAGACUGCAAGCGUUAUUCGGAUUCACUGGGCGUAAAGGGUGCGUAGGCGGCCAAGUGUGUUAGGCGUGAAAGCCCGGGGCUUAACCCCGGAAUUGCACCUAAAACUACAUGGCUAGAGCAUUGGAGAGGGUAGCGGAAUUCACGGUGUAGCAGUGAAAUGCGUAGAUAUCGUGAGGAACACCAGAGGCGAAGGCGGCUACCUGGACAAUUGCUGACGCUCAGGCACGAAAGCGUGGGGAGCAAAAGGG